GAUGAAGAACGUAGCGAAAUGCGAUAAGUAAUGCGAAUUGCAGAAUUUCCGUGAGUCAUCGAAUCUUUGAACGCACAUUGCGCCCGGCAGUACUCUGCCGGGCAUGCCUGUUCGAGCGUCAUUUCAACCCUCAAGCCCUGCUUGGUGUUGGGGUCCCACGGCCGCCGUGGGCCCUGAAAGGAAGUGGCGGGCUCGCUACAACUCCGAGCGUAGUAAUUCAUUAUCUCGCUUAGGGCGUUGGGCGGCGCUCCUGCCGUUAAAGAACCAUCUUUAACUCAAGGUUGACCUCGGAUCAGGUAGGAAUACCCGCUGAACUUAAGCAUAUCAAUAAGCGGAGGA
rnacentral:misc_RNA from 1 species